rnacentral:rRNA from 1 species
AACGAACGCUGGCGGCAUGCCUAACACAUGCAAGUCGAACGAGAUCUUCGGGUCUAGUGGCGCACGGGUGCGUAACGCGUGGGAAUCUGCCCUUUGGUUCGGAAUAACAGUUGGAAACGACUGCUAAUACCGGAUGAUGACGAAAGUCCAAAGAUUUAUCGCCAGAGGAUGAGCCCGCGUAGGAUUAGCUAGUUGGUGUGGUAAAGGCGCACCAAGGCGACGAUCCUUAGCUGGUCUGAGAGGAUGAUCAGCCACCCUGGGACUGAGACACGGCCCAGACUCCUACGGGAGGCAGCAGUGGGGAAUAUUGGACAAUGGGCGAAAGCCUGAUCCAGCAAUGCCGCGUGAGUGAUGAAGGCCUUAGGGUUGUAAAGCUCUUUUACCCGGGAUGAUAAUGACAGUACCGGGAGAAUAAGCUCCGGCGAACUCCGUGCCAGCCGCCGCAGUAA